CCAGCCAAGUGGUAAAUGAUAAGGCAAAUUUCGUGGGUGCCCUCCUCAAACAGAGAGACAGGGGAGAACUCCCAGAAGUCUGUCCCACUUCCCUUUCCAGUUAGUGGCAAGUAGGGACUCCAGGAGUAGGGAAUACCGAGGAGGUAUGAGUUUCAGAGUUGAAGUCAUCUUGCAGAAUGAGAAGUUUCUGGAAAUUGGAAAUAUCAAUCAGCAUUUUGCCAUAUUGAGAAGUUCUUCAGAAAAAUGUUCCAUUGAGGAGUUCAACCAAAGGUUGGCUAGAAUGAGGGUAAGUGUUCCCAGGAAAAAUCUAUAUUUAUGUUUUAAAAUGGCUUUUCUAAGACCACUUUUGGGAGAAGUAUCAGGAUUAUUUUUUGCCCCUCAGUUUUUCUAUUUUAUUGUCAGAUUAGCAUAGGGAACAAAGACUCUUAAGGCAAGCUAAUUCAGGGUGGGUAAGAUUAUUUUUUUUUGCCUCAACUUUCUCCCUUCUCUAAUCCUUCCUUCCCACAGCUGUAAAAAUAAUAUUUCUUAAAGUUCUUGACCACUUUGUUUCCCUUUUCAGAACCUGUAGUGGCUUCAUGUUAUUUAUAGGAUAACUUAAAAAACUCCUGUUCAUGGAAGUCUCUCUCCCCCUUCUCCAACAAGAGUGGCUCUGGUCUAUCUUUCUAGUUUUAUUUUGUAUUACUCCCUUUUACACAUCUUAUAU
rnacentral:lncRNA from 1 species